CAACGUUCUCAGGGCGGGGUGCAAUUCCCCACCGGCGGUAAUUACACGCAAUGUGUAUAGCCCGCGAGCGCUUGGCGCCUCGAACUGCUCACGCAGGACGGCGACAAGGUCAGCAGACCCGGUGUGAUCCCGGGGCCGACGGUCAUAGUCCGGAUGAAGAGAGAACGGGA
rfam:Spinacia oleracea cultivar SynViroflay scaffold86733.con0062.1, whole genome shotgun sequence.